GUCUGCAGACAGUUUUUUCUACAUGUUUACAUCAGGUUUUUGCUUGUUGAACAGGUGUAUUGAUAAAGUAUUGGCUUUUCAUUGGCAAAGGUUUUAUUGCACUUAUUUACAGUAAUGAGCGUUCUUCACUUUACCUGGUUUACUUCACUGUCUCUACCGCUGUCUCUCUGCUCUAUUCAAUGACUUCGCUCCGUGUGUGUAUGUGUGUGUGUGUGUGUGUAGGAGACAGGAAGAGACACAGAGAGCAGAAGAGAUGUGUGCUUCAGCGUGAUAAUAAAUUACACCAAAGUGUUAAAAAGUACCGAUGAAAGAACCAAUAACGUCAGAGCUUAUCAAUACCCCGGUCUUUAAUAAUUUAGCACCGGUGCCCGUUUAAUACCGGGUCUUGGUACCCAUCCCCAGCCAAAACUCAAACUUUACAUUGUAAAGAUCGAUCAGGAAAUUCUAGGCAUCUUUGAUCAAUGUACUAAUGACAAAGCACACCUAUUUUCAGUCCCUCUGUCCAAACUUAGACCCCAGUAGGGAUGUCACGAGAACCGAUUCUUCGGUACCAACUCGGUUCCAAAAUUCUAAAAAUGUGACGGUACUCGUUUUCUUCGGUACUGGAGAUGCGAUUCUUCCGGAUCUAAUGGGGGCAGUAAACGAUUACAAGUGUUCUCAUCUGCCGUGAAAUGAAGGAAGAAGAAGAACGCC